rnacentral:rRNA from 1 species
UACGAAGGGGGCUAGCGUUGCUCGGAAUCACUGGGCGUAAAGGGUGCGUAGGCGGGUCUUUAAGUCAGGGGGGAAAUCCUGGAGCUCAACUCCAGAACUGCCUUUGAUACUGAAGAUCUUGAGUCCGGGAGAGGUGAGUGGAACUGCGAGUGUAGAGGUGAAAUUCGUAGAUAUUCGCAAGAACACCAGUGGCGAAGGCGGCUCACUGGCCCGGUACUGACGCUGAGGAGCGAAAGCGUGGGGAGCGAACAGG